CUAACACAUGCAAGUCGGACGCGAAAGCUCCUUCGGGAGUGAGUAGAGUGGCGCACGGGUGAGUAACGCGUAGGUAAUCUACCUCUGGAUUGGGGAUAACUCUGCGAAAGCGGAGCUAAUACCGAAUGGUCUGGCUUUAUUUUGAUGAAGUCGGUAAAGGAUGCCUCUGCAUAUGCAUCUGUCCGGAGAUGAGCCUGCGUCCCAUUAGCUAGUUGGUAGGGUAAAGGCCUACCAAGGCGACGAUGGGUAGCUGGUCUGAGAGGAUGAUCAGCCACACUGGAACUGGAACACGGUCCAGACUCCUACGGGAGGCAGCAGUGGGGAAUAUUGGGCAAUGGGCGCAAGCCUGACCCAGCAACGCCGUGUGAGGGAUGAAGGCCUUCGGGUCGUAAACCUCUGUCAGAAGGGAAGAACGGGCACAGUUCGAAUAGGGCUGUGUUUUGACGGUACCUUCAGAGGAAGCACCGGCUAACUCCGUGCCAGCAGCCGCGGUAAUACGGAGGGUGCGAGCGUUAUUCGGAAUCACUGGGCGUAAAGGGCGCGUAGGCGGCCUGGUAAGUCAGGGGUGAAAUCCCACGGCUCAACCGUGGAAUUGCCUUUGAAACUGCUGGGCUUGGAUCCUGGAGAGGGUGGCGGAAUUCCUGGUGUAGGAGUGAAAUCCGUAGAUAUCAGGAGGAACACCGGUGGCGAAGGCGGCCACCUGGACAGGUAUCGACGCUGAGGCGCGAAAGUGUGGGGGAGCAAACAGGAUUAGAUACCCUGGUAGUCCACACCGUAAACGAUGGAUACUAGGUGUUGGGGGCAUGACCCUCAGUGCCGGAGCUAACGCGUUAAGUAUCCCGCCUGGGGAGUACGGNC
rnacentral:rRNA from 1 species